rnacentral:rRNA from 1 species
CCUACGGGUGGCAGCAGUGGGGAAUAUUGCACAAUGGGGGAAACCCUGAUGCAGCAACGCCGCGUGAGUGAAGAAGUAUUUCGGUAUGUAAAGCUCUAUCAGCAGGGAAGAAGAUGACGGUACCUGACCAAGAAGCCCCGGCUAACUACGUGCCAGCAGCCGCGGUAAUACGUAGGGGGCAAGCGUUAUCCGGAUUUACUGGGUGUAAAGGGAGCGCAGACGGCAGUGCAAGUCUGGAGUGAAAGCCCGGGGCCCAACCCCGGAACUGCUCUGGAAACUGGGCGGCUAGAGUACUGGAGGGGCAGGCGGAAUUCCUAGUGUAGCGGUGAAAUGCGUAGAUAUUAGGAGGAACACCAGUGGCGAAGGCGGCUUACUGGACUGUAACUGACGUUGAGGCUCGAAAGCGUGGGGAGCAAACAGGAUUAGAUACCCGAGUAGUC